rnacentral:rRNA from 1 species
ACACAUGCAAGUCGAACGGAGCUUAGAGAGCUUGCUUUUUAAGCUUAGUGGCGAACGGGUGAGUAACGCGUGAGUAACCUGCCCUAGAGUGGGGGACAACAGUUGGAAACGACUGCUAAUACCGCAUAAGCCCACGGUACCGCAUGGUACUGAGGAAAAAGGAUUUAUUCGCUUUAGGAUGGACUCGCGUCCAAUUAGCUAGUUGGUGAGGUAACGGCCCACCAAGGCGACGAUUGGUAGCCGGACUGAGAGGUUGAACGGCCACAUUGGGACUGAGACACGGCCCAGACUCCUACGGGAGGCAGCAGUGGGGGAUAUUGCACAAUGGGGGAAACCCUGAUGCAGCGACGCCGCGUGGAGGAAGAAGGUUUUCGGAUUGUAAACUCCUGUCGUUAGGGACGAUAAUGACGGUACCUAACAAGAAAGCACCGGCUAACUACGUGCCAGCAGCCGCGGUAAAACGUAGGGUGCAAGCGUUGUCCGGAAUUACUGGGUGUAAAGGGAGCGCAGGCGGGAAGACAAGUUGGAAGUGAAAACCAUGGGCUCAACCCAUGAAUUGCUUUCAAAACUGUUUUUCUUGAGUAGUGCAGAGGUAGAUGGAAUUCCCGGUGUAGCGGUGGAAUGCGUAGAUAUCGGGAGGAACACCAGUGGCGAAGGCGGUCUACUGGGCACCAACUGACGCUGAGGCUCGAAAGCAUGGGUAGCAAACAGGAUUAGAUACCCUGGUAGUCCAUGCCGUAAACGAUGAUUACUAGGUGUUGGGGGAUUGACCCCC